GUAUAUAUUGUGAGUAUUGUUGUUAUUAAAAUAUACAAACCAAUGGAAAAUAUUAGCGUAGUUAAGAGUUCUUUUUGACGUUCGACUCAAUGUAGUCAACAACCAUUCCAAUAUUCUAAGCACGCAGGACACUUGCCCUGAUUAGUCUAGAUUCCUGCAUACUCCUCCAUUUCACUCGGUACAAAAUUUCCUGUGGAUAACCUACGACCAAAUGAUGAAUACAGCAUUCGGGCUCUAGAUGCCGGGUGAACCCGUUGAAAUUGAUCCCACUCCUUAUGAACUCUUUCAUAUAUACGCCCCCCGAUAGUCCAUGAAGAGCCUUGGCUUAUAUGCCCACAUUACGCUCGCUUCUAUGAGUAUGGGUUCUCGGAUAUUACUCCAUUUUACUUUGUACAUAGUUUUCCUUGAUUGUUUUUCAACCAUAUGGUUGGUAAAUCAACUGUGCAAACGAUCGAAAUCAUUGGCCCUACGUCAGGUACCACUGUCACUUCCUCUUCGAUAUGAUAGCUAUUGCAUUUCUCUGUGUUUGUUCUUGAAAUGCUUGUGUUGAGAAUUAUAUUUAUAUUUUUUUAUUCAAAAUUCGUACUUUCGGAGGUUUCUUCGUAGGCUUCCUCACUUAGUAUGUCCCAGUACCACAGAGUUUCUAAAGCUGCGAGUACUAUGAGUCGAAGUACUGAAAAAUAAACUCAGGGAACAAGAAAAAUCAUUGGCCCUACGUCAGGUACCACUGUCACUUCCUCUUCGAUAAUUUAGCUACUGCAUUUCUCUGUGCUUUGUUCUUGAAAUGCUUGUGUUGAAUACAUUGUGAGUAUUGCUGUUAUUAAAAUAUACAAACCAAUGGAAAAUAUUAGCGUAGUUAAGAGUUCCUUUUGACGUUCGACUCAAAGUAGUCAACAACCAUUUCGAUAUUGUAAGCACGCAGGAUACUUGCCUCGAUUACUCUAGAUUCCUGAAUAUUCCUACAUUUCACUCGGUACAAAAUUUCCUGUGGAUAACCUACGACCAAAUGAUCAAUACAGCUUUCGGGCUCUAGAUGCCGGGUGAACCCGUUGAAAUUGAUCCCACUCCUAAUGAAUUCUUUCAUAUAUAAGCCCCCCAAUAGUCCAUGAAGAGCCUUGGCUUAUAUGCCCACAUUACGCUCGCUUCUAUGAGUAUGGAUUCUCGGAUAUUACUCCAUUUUACUUUGUACAUAGUUUUCCUUGAUUGUUUUUCAACCAUAUGGUUGGUAAAUCAACUUUGCAAACGAUGGAAAUCAUUGGCCCUACGUCAGGUACCAUUGUCACUUCCUCUUCGAUAUGAUAGCUAUUUCAUUUCUCUGUGUUUUCUUCUUGAAAUGCUUGUGUUGAAAAUUAUAUUUAUAUUUUUUUAUUCAAAAUUCGUACUUUUGAAGGUUUCUUCGUAGUCGUCCUCACUUAGUAGGUCCCAGUACCACAUAGUUUCUAAAGCUGCGAGUUUUAUGAGUCCAUGUACUGAAAAAUCAACUCAGGAAACAAGACAAAUAAUUGGACCUACGUCAGGUACAACUGUCACUUCCUUUUCAAUAUUUUAGCUACUGCAUUUCUCUAAGUUUUGUUCUUGAAAUGCUUGUGUUGUAUAUAUUGUGAAUAUUGUUAUUCUUAAAAUAUACAAACGUUUGAUUCAAAUUAAACAACAAUCAUUUCCAUCUUGUAAGCACGCAGGACACUUGGCUCGAUUAGUCUAGAUUCCUGCAUACUCCUCCAUUUCUCUCUGUACAAAAUUUCCUGUGGAUAACCUACGACCAAAUGAUGAAUACAGCAUUCGGGCUCUAGAUGCCGGGUGAACCCGUUGAAAUUGAUCCCACUCCUAAUGAAUUCUUUCAUAUAUAAGCCCCCCAAUAGUCCAUGAAGAGCCUUGGCUUAUAUGCCCACAUUACGCUCGCUUCUAUGAGUAUGGGUUCUCGGAUAUUACUCCAUUUUACUUUGUACAUAGUUUUCCUUGAUUGUUUUUCAACCAUAUGGUUGGUAAAUCAACUGUGCAAACGAUGGAAAUCAUUGGCCCUACGUCAGGUACCACUGUCACUUCCUCUUCGAUAUGGUAGCUAUUGCAUUUCUCUGUGUUUUCUUCUUGAAAUUCUUGUGUUGUAUAUAUUGUGAGUAUUGUUGUUAUUAAAAUAUACAAACCAAUGGAAAAUAUUAGCGUAGUUAAGAGUUCUUUUUGACGUUCGACUCAAUGUAGUCAACAACCAUUCCAAUAUUCUAAGCACGCAGGACACUUGCCCCGAUUAGUCUAGAUUCCUGCAUACUCCUCCAUUUCACUCGGUACAAAAUUUCCUGUGGAUAACCUACGACCAAAUGAUGAAUACAGCAUUCGGGCUCUAGAUGCCGGGUGAACCCGUUGAAAUUGAUCCCACUCCUUAUGAACUCUUUCAUAUAUACGCCCCCCGAUAGUCCAUGAAGAGCCUUGGCUUAUAUGCCCACAUUACGCUCGCUUCUAUGAGUAUGGGUUCUCGGAUAUUACUCCAUUUUACUUUGUACAUAGUUUUCCUUGAUUGUUUUUCAACCAUAUGGUUGGUAAAUCAACUGUGCAAACGAUCGAAAUCAUUGGCCCUACGUCAGGUACCACUGUCACUUCCUCUUCAAUAUUAUAGCUAUUGCAUUUCUCUGUGUUUUGUUCUUAAAAUGCUUGUGUUGAAAAUUAUAUUUAUAUUUUUUUAUUCAAAAUUCGUACUUUUGAAGGUUUCUUCGUAGUCGUCCUCACUUAGUAUGUCCCAGUACCACAGAGUUUCUAAAGCUGCGAGUACUAUGAGUCGAAGUACUGAAAAAUAAACUCAGGGAACAAGAAAAAUCAUUGGCCCUACGUCAGGUACCACUGUCACUUCCUCUUCGAUAAUUUAGCUACUGCAUUUCUCUGUGGUUUGUUCUUGAAAUGCAUGUGUUGAAUACAUUGUGAGUAUUGUUGUUAUUAAAAUAUACAAACCAAUGGAAAAUAUUAGCGUAGUUAAGAGUUCUUUUUGACGUUCGACUCAAAGUAGUCAACAACCAUUUCGAUAUUGUAAGCACGCAGGAUACUUGCCUCGAUUACUCUAGAUUCCUGAAUAUUCCUCCAUUUCACUCGGUACAAAAUUUCCUGUGGAUAACCUAC